rnacentral:ncRNA from 1 species
AGAACUAUUAAGGCGAAGGAGGGAAUGGAGGGGUAACGUUCGGAAACGUCCACUUUAAGACUAUGGCAUGCGAGGCGGCAACAGCCAAAUUGUAUGUAGCCCGCAGAAGUCGGCAGAGAGCUGCCGCAAAGGAGGGCUUGCCUCUCCCGCGAAAGCGUCCCAGCGGUGGGAUGUGUAGCCUGUAUGCUGGAAGCC